UCGAUCGCUAUUACGAUUCAGUUUCCGGGAUCAAUAUACCCAAAGAAUGUCUAAGUGCCGCCCACAUUGGGCUAUGCUUUAUCGUUGUCGAUAAUUCGAUAAUGAGCCGAAGCAUUGUACUUUGUCGUUGUCGAUAAUUCGAUAUACGAGUUGAAGUACUAUACUUUGUCGUUUGUCAUUUUGAUAAAUGAGCUGAAGUAUUGCACUUGGACAUUCAUUGUAAAAAUUGAUCUCGGGGAAUUAUCGUAACUGCUGUAUUGAUCAUUAACCUGGUUCUUGUAAAAUUCGUUAAGAGUUGAUUUAGGUUUUUCACCAAUACGUAUUCCAUUCUGUUAAACUACCAAGAAUACUCCCAACUACACCCUUACAAUCAAACAAACUAUAAAAUCAUCAGAAGAUCCAGAAUAAUAAAGUGCAUGCUUAAUUAUCGGAAGAAGUAGAAUCAGAAAGUUUGUUAACUCAAACCUGCAUGCUGAUUUGUAAUUACAAUAGAUUGGAGCAAGGAUUGGAUCCGGCACUAAAAGACUUCAAGAAGUGGCUUAUUUUCAAAUUAAGAAAUAUUGUUUUUAUUAAAAGCUACCUUUGUAAAACAUGGAAUUUAUUCCAUCCAUUUAAAUAA
rnacentral:lncRNA from 1 species